ACUCGAGUGGCGAACGGGUGAGUAACACGUGGGUGAUCUGCCCUGCACUUCGGGAUAAGCUUGGGAAACUGGGUCUAAUACCGGAUAGGAGCCAUCUUUAGUGUGGUGGUUGGAAAGUUUUUUCGGUGUAGGAUGAGCUCGCGGCCUAUCAGCUUGUUGGUGGGGUAAUGGCCUACCAAGGCGGCGACGGGUAGCCGGCCUGAGAGGGUGUACAGCCACAUUGGGACUGAGAUACGGCCCAG
rnacentral:rRNA from 1 species